rnacentral:rRNA from 1 species
UGAGGAAUAUUGGUCAAUGGACGCAAGUCUGAACCAGCCAUGCCGCGUGAAGGAUGAAGGCCUUCUGGGUUGUAAACUUCUUUUACCUGGGAAGAAAACCAUGGUUUCUACUAUGGCCGACGGUACCAGAGGAAUAAGCACCGGCUAACUCCGUGCCAGCAGCCGCGGUAAUACGGAGGGUGCAAGCGUUAUCCGGAUUUACUGGGUUUAAAGGGUGUGUAGGCGGGCUAUUAAGUCAGUGGUGAAAUCUCCGGGCUCAACCCGGAAACUGCCAUUGAUACUAUUAGUCUUGAAUUUUGUUGAGGCAGGCGGAAUAAGUCAUGUAGCGGUGAAAUGCAUAGAUAUGACUUAGAACACCAAUUGCGAAGGCAGCUUGCUAAACAGAUAUUGACGCUGAGGCACGAAAGCGUGGGGAUCAAACAGGAUUAGAUACCCCCGUAGUCC